rnacentral:rRNA from 1 species
GACGAACGCUGGCGGCGUGCUUAACACAUGCCAGUCGAACGGUGAAGCGCCUUCCUUUUUGGUGGGUGUGGAUGAGUGGCGAACGGGGGAGUAACACGUGAGUAACCUGCCCCCUUCUUCUGGAUAACGGCAUGAAAGUGUGGCUAAUACGGGAUAUUCUGGGUCUGUCGCAUGAUGGGUCUGGGGAAGAUAUUGUGUCGGUGGGGGAUGGGCUCGCGGCCUAUCAGCUUGUUGGUGGGGUGAUGGCCUACCAAGGCGGUGCGGGGUAGCCGGCCUGAGAGGGUCGACGGCCACACUGGGACUGCGACACGGCCCAGACUCCUACGGGAGGCAGCAGUGGGGAAUAGUGCACAAUGGGCGCAAGCCUGAUGCAGCGCCGCCGCGUGAGGGAUGGAGGCCUUCGGGUUGUGAACCUCUUUCGCCAGUGAAGCAGGCCUGCCUCGUUUGUGGGUGGGUUGACGGUAGCUGGAUAAGAAGCGCCGGCUAACUACGUG